rnacentral:rRNA from 1 species
GUGGGGAAUAUUGCGCAAUGGGGGAAACCCUGACGCAGCGACGCCGCGUGGAGGAAGAAGGCCUUCGGGUUGUAAACUCCUUUGACUGGGGACGAAGGAAGUGACGGUACCCAGGGAACAAGCCACGGCUAACUACGUGCCAGCAGCCGCGGUAAUACGUAGGUGGCGAGCGUUGUCCGGAAUCACUGGGCGUAAAGGGCGCGUAGGCGGGUGAGCAAGUCAGGUGUAAAAACUAUCGGCUCAACCGGUAAGUAGCACUUGAAACUGUUCAUCUUGAGUACUGGAGAGGGAAGCGGAAUUCCUAGUGUAGCGGUGAAAUGCGUAGAGAUUAGGAGGAACACCAGUGGCGAAGGCGGCUUCCUGGCCAGCAACUGACGCUGAGGCGCGAAAGCGUGGGGAGCAAACAGGAUUAGAUACCCGGGUAGUCC